GCAGACACAUUCCAGCCAAUCAGCAGCAGACCCUCCCUCCCAGACCCUCCCACCUCCUGGACAGCUCCAAGAAUGCAGCUUCACAAUGAAUGUAAAAUGGAUGCUGUCCAGGAGGUGGGAGGGUCUGGGAGGGAGGGUCUGCUGCUGAUUGGCUGGAAUGUGUCUG
rnacentral:miRNA from 1 species